CUGUCUCUUUAGCGGCUCGGUUUGCUUGGAUCAUACUCUCCGGCUUCUAAUGGAGACAUUGAUGAUGUCGACUCUUGGUGGCACUCCUGUUGCUGGAAGAGCCCCUCUUCCUUAGGGAUCCAUGGGGACAAAGCAAGAUUCAAAAAAACUCAGAGACACAGAUAACAUUAACCUGAAAACUCAAGUAUUUCACAGCUCAUCGAUGUCAGUGAGUUAACAAUCAAAGGGAAUUUUACUCGAAUUGAGAAUGGCAGUAAGAGGACCUAGAUAUAUGGCAGCAGGUAUAGAGGCCGGCGCUGAUUGAGAAGGCGAUAAGUGCGACUCCGAGCCCGUCGGUGGCCGCCGAGAGGGAGAAGCAGAGGAGGAGAUGGGGAUUUGGGAAGUUGCCGUUGGUGGUGGAAUGAAUCAGCGUUCUCAUUGCUGCCCCUCUCUUUCCUCGUCAGCGGCGUCAGGGCGUGUCGACGGUCAAGUUAACCCCGCCGUCACGCACGAUCGAAACACGUUGAAGAGAUUGACGGACGGCUCAGAUGGGCCUGUUAAUGAUCAAGUUAACCACGUCGUCACGCACGGAGGUGGACCCCGGACAGCGAAGCUUUUUUGCCAGGUAGGAACCGCUGCUUUCUUAUCUCGUUAUUUGUGGGGUCAUGGGUGGAAUUACUUCUGGUAAUUUAUUGCACCAACCAACGUGGUUGGCUUCUCGCACGCUCCCUGUCAAUAAUUGGCGGAGGUGGAACCUGGCGAGUGCCAAUUUUCUAACCCUAUUAACUAUUUUAAAAAAUAAUCAAUAGCAUAAGACGAGUUGUGAAUA